UUGAACCAUAGCCUUGGUAUUUCUCUCUCCGCAAGUACUUCGCCCGGGCUAGCUAGCGGUUUUUCGUCGAUGAUUCGAUUCGAAAGAGGAAAAAUGCGCGGAUGCGAUGAAAAAGAGGAGGAAUUCAGGAAUUUCCGUUGUUAAAGAUCGACCUCAGAUCCAGAAAUCGUCAGAUAGAUGCAGCUUCGAUCGAGUUCUGAGCUCUCAAAUUUGCCACUGUUCUAGGGUUUCUCAUCAAACCUUAGAUAUGAGCAGAGUGAAAAGGGUACGGUUUGCAGACCUUGAUACUGUUCGUGAAAUAAAUCGCCAACCAGAUGCUUCUUCAAGUCCUGCUAAAAGCAGUCUUCCCCGGAGCUGUAGGUUUCCAAUGUCUGCCUGUGUUUGCUUCAGUUUUCUGGGGAAUGUGAAUAAGCUAUGUUGCAUUUGAUAUUUCGCUCUUUCUUUAUGGUCGACAACCCGAAAACUUCUGAGUACCAAUAUUACCAGAAGUUACGACAAGCUGCUAGCAGUAAAGGUCAUUCUUAUCUACGUGAUAAACAGGAAAACCAUUUGAAUGAUAUUGAAGCAAGUAACUAUAUGAGAGUGAACAGGUUGAAAUCUUCUAUAAGGGAAGACACUGGCCGUAGUGUUCAUUCUUGUCUAUCACAUAAACAGGAAAACCAUUUGAGUAA